rnacentral:lncRNA from 9 species
UUAGAAGCACGUGGCUCUCGCCCCACACGGUUUACACACAGGAGUGGAGUGUCGUCACAAGCUGAGGCUCAGCAGUCCUCGCUGACGAAGUGGCCACGAGGAGGGACAGGACUAAGGUCAGACUUGGAAGGUGCCCUUCAUUCUUUAUCUGACCUACUAUGGGCAAGGUCGUCUGAUAGAAAUAGCCCCGCGUUUUCUGGCUGUGCAUCAGGGAAACAUAUGCAGAUGAAUCGUAACUCAUUUCAAUUGAGGUGUAACUGACACAUCACACUGUAUUCGUUUUAGUCACAGCAUAAUGUCUUGACAUGUGUAUUUAUUGAGAAAUAAUUACCACAGUAAGUUUAGUGAACAUCCAUCACCACACGUACUUAAGAGUUAGUUUUUCCUGGUGGGAAAUCUGGCAUUUACUUUCUGGGCAACUUUCCAGUGUCCUCUACAGUGUCAAGUGUCGUCGCCAUGCACUACACUGCAGGACUUACUUAUCUUACAAUGUAUAAAAGGUGGCUUCUUUUGACCACUUUCACCCAUUUUGCCCAUCCCCAACCCGAUCGUUAGCAUCAGUCUGAUUGCUGUAUCUUUGAGUUCAAUUAAGAAAAUUUAAGUAUAGCUGAUUUAUAAUAAAUCAGUUUUGGGUUUAUAGCACUGUGAUUCGAUAUUUUUACGGAUUAUACUCCAUGAGUAGUUAUUGAAAACAAUGGCCAUGCUUCCCUGUGCUUUGCAAUAUACCCUUGCUGCUCAUCUAUUUAUAUAGACUAGUUUGUCUAUAUAUCAUCUUCCUUAUUUGCUCUUCUCCCCUUUUGUCACCAGUAGUUUGUUUUCUGUGUCUAGGGGUCUGUUUCUGUUUUUCAUAUACAAUCGUUUGCAUUAUUUUUUGUUUUUGUAUUUUUUGUCUUUUGUCUUUAUAGGGCCAUACCCGUGGCAUGUGGAGGUUCCCAGGCUAGGGGUCUAAUUAGAGCUGCAGCCGCUGGCCUAUGCCACAGCCACAGCAACACAGGAUCUGAGCCACGUCUGCAAUCUACACCACAGCUCAUGACAAUGCCAGAUCCUUAACCCAUUAAGCGAGGCCAGAGAUUGAACCCGCAACCUCAUGGUUCCUAGUUGGAUUCGUUAAUCACUGAGCCAUGAUGGGAACUCCCACAUUAUUUUUCAGAUUCCACAUAUAAGUGAUAUAAUACAGUACUUACCUUUCUCUGGUUAAUUUCAAUAUGCGUUGUGUUCUGUAGGUCCGUGCAUGUUGCUGCAAAUGGCAUUAUUUCCUUCUGUUUUAUGGCUG